ensembl:lncRNA
UUUUAUUCCAAACCCUGAAAAUUAAGUUUUUAAAAAAACAUUUAGGCAGCCCGAAAAAACGCUUAGGUGGCCAUCCCAAUGAUUUAAAUGGAGGAAAAAACAAAAACAUGCUAAUAUAGUCAGGAUGGGGUAGUGUAGUCAGGAUGGGGUAGUGUAGUCAGGAUGGGGUAGUGUAGUCAGGAUGGGGUAGUGUAGUCAGGAUGAGGUAGUGUAGUCAGGAUGAGGCAGUGUAGUCAGGAUGGGGUAGUGUUGUCAGGAUGGGGUAGUGUAGUCAGGAUGAGGUAGUGUUGUCAGGAUGGGGUAGUGUUGUCAGGAUGGGGUAGUGUAGUCAGGAUGGGAUAGUGAUGUCAGGAUUGGGUAGUGAUGUCAGGAUUGGGUAGUGUAGUAAGGAUGGGGUUGUGUAGUCAGGAUGAGGUAGUGUUGUCAGGAUGGGGUAGUGUUGUCAGGAUUGGGUAGCGUUGUCAGGAUGGGGUAGUGUAGUCCGGAUGGGGUAGUGUAGUCAGGAAUAGGUAGUGUUGUCAGGUUGGGGUAGUGUUGUCAGGAUGGGGUAGUGUUGUCAGGUUGGGGUUGUGUAGUCAGGUUGGGGUAGUGUUGUCAGGACGGGGUAGUGUUGUCAGGACGGGGUAGUGUUGUCAGGAUGGGGUUGUGUAGUCAGGUUGGGGUAGUGUUGUCAGGACGGGGUAGUGUUGUCAGGACGGGGUAGUGUUGUCAGGAUGGGGUUGUGUAGUCAGGUUGGGGUAGUGUUGUCAGGGCGGGGUAGUGUUGUCAGGUUGGGGUAGUGUUGUCAGGUUGGGGUAGUGUUGUCA